rnacentral:rRNA from 1 species
GUCUACGGCCAUGCCACCCUGAACAAGCCCAAUGUCUGAUCUUGGAAGCUAAGCAGGGUCAGGCUUGGUUAGUACUUGGAUGGGAGACCACCUAGGAAGACCAGGUGCUGUAGGCA